rnacentral:rRNA from 1 species
AUUGAACGCUGGCGGCAGGCCUAACACAUGCAAGUCGAGCGAGCGGCGGACGGGUGCGUAAUGUCUGGGAACCUGCCUGAUGGCUGGGGAUAACUACUGGAUACGGUAGCUAAACCCGCAUAACAUAAGCUUUGCCCAGUUGGGGUGCGCUCGUAGGUGGGGUAACGGCUCACCUAGGCGACGAUCGCUAGCCGGUCUGAGAGGUUGACCAGACACACUGGAACUGAGACAAGGUCCAUACUCCUACGGGAGGCAGCAGUGGGGAAUAUUGCGCAAUGGGCGAAAGCCUGAUGCAGCCAUGCCGCGUGUGUGAAGAAGGCCUUCGGGUUGUAAAGCACUUUCAGUGGGGAGGCGGUACCCGCAGAAGAAGCACCGGCUAACUCCGUGCCAGCAGCCGCGGUAAUAC